rnacentral:rRNA from 1 species
CAUGCUGCGUGGGGGUGAGGCCCUAUGGGGCGUAAACUGCUUUUCUUCGGGAAGAAACCCUUGGUUUCCCCGGACCUUGCCGGAACCGAUUGAAUAACGCCCGGCCAACUCCGGGCCACCGGCCGGGGAAUUCCGGAGGGGCCAAGCGUUAUCCGGAUUCCUGGGGGUUAAAGGGGGCCCGGGGGGCCAAGUAAGUCAGUGGUGAAACCCUUGGGUUCACCCGGAAAAUUGCUUUUGAAACUACUUGCUUUGAGUGCGGAAAAGGUGGGCGGAUUGUAGCAUGUAGCGGUGAAAUGCAUAGAUUUGCUACAGAACACCGAUGGCGAAAGCAGCUUACCACACUGUAACUGACGCUGAGGCACGAAAGCAUGGGUAGCAAACAGGAUUAGAUACCCUGGUAGUCCAUGCCGUAAACUUUGAACACUCGGAGUUUGCCACCUAGGGGUAAGCUCCCUAGCGAAAGCGUUAAGUGUUCCACCUGGGGAGUACGGCCGCAAGGUUAAAACUCAA